CCUCGGCGGGAUCUCUGCCCCGGGUGCGUCGCAGCCCCGGACCAAGGCGCCCGCCGGAGGACCAACCAAAACUCUUUUUGUAUACCCCCUCGCGGGUUUUUUAUAAUCUGAGCCUUCUCGGCGCCUCUCGUAGGCGUUUCGAAAAUGAAUCAAAACUUUCAACAACGGAUCUCUUGGUUCUGGCAUCGAUGAAGAACGCAGCGAAAUGCGAUAAGUAAUGUGAAUUGCAGAAUUCAGUGAAUCAUCGAAUCUUUGAACGCACAUUGCGCCCGCCAGUAUUCUGGCGGGCAUGCCUGUCCGAGCGUCAUUUCAACCCUCGAACCCCUCCGGGGGGUCGGCGUUGGGGAUCGGCCCUCCCUUAGCGGGUGGCCGUCUCCGAAAUACAGUGGCGGUCUCGCCGCAGCCUCUCCUGCGCAGUAGUUUGCACACUCGCAUCGGGAGCGCGGCGCGUCCACAGCCGUUAAACACCCAACUUCUGAAAUGUUGACCUCGGAUCAGGUAGGAAUACCCGCUGAACUUAAGCAUAUCAAUAAGCGGAGGAA
rnacentral:rRNA from 1 species